rnacentral:rRNA from 1 species
AUUGAUGUACGGAUUAUUGGGCGUAAGAGCUCGUAGGCGGUUUGUCGCGUCUGCCGUGAAAGUCCGGGGCUCAACUCCGGAUCUGCGGUGGGUACGGGCAGACUAGAGUGAUGUAGGGGAGACUGGAAUUCCUGGUGUAGCGGUGAAAUGCGCAGAUAUCAGGAGGAACACCGAUGGCGAAGGCAGGUCUCUGGGCAUUAACUGACGCUGAGGAGCGAAAGCAUGGGGAGCGAACAGGAUUAGAUACCCUGGUAGUCCAUGCCGUAAACGUUGGGCACUAGGUGUGGGGGACAUUCCACGUUUUCCGCGCCGUAGCUAACGCAUUAAGUGCCCCGCCUGGGGAGUACGGCCGCAAGGCUAAAACUCAAAGGAAUUGACGGGGGCCCGCACAAGCGGCGGAGCAUGCGGAUUAAUUCGAUGCAACGCGAAGAACCUUACCAAGGCUUGACAUGGGCCGGACCGGGUUGGAAACAGUCCUUCCCCUUUGGGGCCGGUUCACAGGUGGUGCAUGGUUGUCGUCAGCUCGUGUCGUGAGAUGUUGGGUUAAGUCCCGCAACGAGCGCAACCCUCGUUCCAUGUUGCCAGCGCGUAAUGGCGGGGACUCAUGGGAGACUGCCGGGGUCAACUCGGAGGAAGGUGGGGACGACGUCAAAUCAUCAUGCCCCUUAUGUCUUGGGCUUCACGCAUGCUACAAUGGCCGGUACAAAGGGUUGCGAUACUGUGAGGUGGAGCUAAUCCCAAAAAGCCGGUCUCAGUUCGGAUUGGGGUCUGCAACUCGACCCCAUGAAGUCGGAGUCGCUAGUAAUCGCAGAUCAGCAACGCUGCGGUGAAUACGUUCCCGGGCCUUGUACACACCGCCCGUCAAGUCACGAAAGUUGGUAACACCCGAAGCCGGUGGCCUAACCCCUUGUGGGAGGGAGCUGUCGAAGGUGGGACUGGCGAUUGGGACUAAGUCGUAACAAGGUAACC